rnacentral:rRNA from 1 species
UACGUAGGCAGCGAGCGUUGUUCGGAGUUACUGGGCGUAAAGGGUGUGUAGGCGGUUGUUUAAGUUUGGUGUGAAAUCUCCCGGCUCAACUGGGAGGGUGCGCCGAAUACUGAGCGACUAGAGUGCGGGAGAGGAAAGUGGAAUUCCUGGUGUAGCGGUGAAAUGCGUAGAUAUCAGGAGGAACACCGGUGGCGAAAGCGACUUCCUGGACCAGUACCGACGUCAGGCACGAAAGCGUGGGGAGCAAACAGG